rnacentral:rRNA from 1 species
UACAGAGGCCCCAAGCGUUACUGAGAAUCACUGGGUUUAAAGGGUGCGUAGGUGGUCCGUUAAGUUCGUUGUGAAAUCCCUGGGCUCAACCCGGGAACUGCUUCGAAUACUGGCGGACUUGAGGCUAGUAGAGGUCACUGGAACUGACGGUGGAGCGGUGAAAUGCGUAGAUAUCGUCAGGAACGCCGGUGGUGAAGACGGGUGACUGGGCUAGUUCUGACACUGAGGCACGAAAGCGUGGGGAGCGAACGGG